AUUGAACGCUGGCGGCAGGCCUAAUACAUGCAAGUCGAGCGGCAGCGCGGGGCAACCUGGCGGCGAGCGGCGGACGGGUGAGGAAUACAUCGGAAUCUACCCUGUCGUGGGGGAUAACGUAGGGAAACUUACGCUAAUACCGCAUACGAACUGAGGUUGAAAGCGGCGGACCGCAAGGCGUCGCGCGAUUGGAUGAGCCGAUGUCCGAUUAGCUAGUUGGCGGGGUAAAGGCCCACCAAGGCGACGAUCGGUAGCUGGUCUGAGGGGACAACCAGCCACACUGGAACUGAGACACGGUCCAGACUCCUACGGGAGGGAGAAGUGGGGCAUAUUGGACAAUGGGCGCAAGCCUGAUCCAGCCAUGCCGCGUGGGUGAAGCAGGCCUUCGGGUUGUAAAGCCCUUUUGUCCGGAAAGAAAUCCUGUCGGUUAAUACCCGGCGGGGAUGACGGUACCGGAAGAAUAAGCACCGGCUAACUUCGUGCCAGCCGCCGCCGUAACAC
rnacentral:rRNA from 1 species